AUGCAUAUUGCACAAACAUGAGAACCAAAUUAUGUCCGUCACAUAGUGUGACAUUUAUUAAUUUAUUUUGGAUUGAGUUAAUUGCCUGUCCAUGAAUAUGCUUUUUGUAUUGGCAUGUCUGCUGGAUAUCUGCUACAUGUUUUCUGUGCUAUAAGUUGAUGUGUGAUAUUACAAUGAGUAUGAAGAAUAUUUAAAGAAUAUUUGCAUGUCAUUAACGCAAGCCUUUAGUGUCUUUUUACAACAGAUUAAAAAAAAACGCUGAUCAGCCAACAAGAAAGGGGCCCCUGGGAAAGAAAAAGAAAAAAAUAUAUCAUUUGCUUUUCAAAAUCGUGGAUCCACGUUUCAGUAUUAUUAGGGGAGUAUUUAGAGUUAACGCUACUUUUAAAGUGCAUUGC